rnacentral:rRNA from 1 species
AUUGAACGCUGGCGGCAUGCCUUACACAUGCAAGUCGAACGGCAGCACGGAGCUUGCUCUGGUGGCGAGUGGCGAACGGGUGAGUAAUAUAUCGGAACGUACCCAAGAGUGGGGGAUAACGUAGCGAAAGUUACGCUAAUACCGCAUACGAUCUAAGGAUGAAGGUGGGGGCUCGCAAGACCUCAUGCUCCUGGAGCGGCCGAUAUCUGAUUAGCUAGUUGGUGAGGUAAAGGCUCACCAAGGCAUCGAUCAGUAGCUGGUCUGAGAGGACGACCAGCCACACUGGAACUGAGACACGGUCCAGACUCCUACGGGAGGCAGCAGUGGGGAAUUUUGGACAAUGGGGCAACCCUGAUCCAGCAAUGCCGCGUGAGUGAAGAAGGCCUUCGGGUUGUAAAGCUCUUUUGUCAGGGAAGAAACGGUGAAGGCUAAUAUCCUUUGCUAAUGACGGUACCUGAAGAAUAAGCACCGGCUAACUACGUGCCAGCCGCCGCCGUAAUAC